rnacentral:lncRNA from 1 species
UGCGUCUAAGUCAUAGAGUCUGUUUUAGGAGUUUUGAAAUGUAUUUUGAGUUUCAAAUUGUAUUUGGAUUACACGCGAGGAGUUCAAUGUUUUGGUGAUGACAAUUGAACUUCGUUUUUCUUUACAAUAUAAUUGUUGAGUUUGUGUGUGUUUUGUCACGAAAUUGCCAAAGGGGGAGAUUGUUAGGUUCUAUGCGUUGGCAAGUUUCGUGGGUCGAGUCGGAGUCUUGAAGUAGUCCGGAGCGGAGUAUUGAAGAUCGAAGAAUCCGAGACUUCGAAGAAUCAGAAAGGACGCAAAACACGCAAAACAUGAAUCACGAUGCUUAGGUAAGCUUUAAAUCUUGUUUAUGGUGAUUCAUACUUAAUUAUAGAUUUUAGAAUCAUGUUUUCAAGUUGUAAUUGAUUAGAAAGUUUCUAAGAGAUUGUAAAACCCGAAAUAAUGCAUUUUCAGCAAAAAUUGCAUUGUUGUACCGGUACAAGGGUUUUCUGUCCAGGGUACAGCCAUCAGCGUUUGCGCAGAAAAGUUUGAUGGUUGUUCCGGUACAACCAUCACGGCUGUACCGGUACAAGCCCUGUUC